AUAGAUGAAGGCCUAAUUGGU
rnacentral:siRNA from 1 species